CAGUAGCCGCGGUAACACAGAGGGUGCGAGCGUUAAUCGGAUUUACUGGGCGUAAAGCGUGCGUAGGCGGCUUCUUAAGUCGGAUGUGAAAUCCCUGAGCUUAACUUAGGAAUUGCAUUCGAUACUGGGAAGCUAGAGUAUGGGAGAGGAUGGUAGAAUUCCAGGUGUAGCGGUGAAAUGCGUAGAGAUCUGGAGGAAUACCGAUGGCGAAGGCAGCCAUCUGGCCUAAUACUGACGCUUAGGUACGAAAGCAUGGGGAGCAAACAGGAUUAGAUACCCCUGUAGUCCCUGUCUCUUAUAC
rnacentral:rRNA from 1 species